CCAACUGAAAUGUCCUUCCACUAACUGAAGUGUCCUUCCACCAACUGAAGUGUCCUUCCAACAACUGAAGUGUCCUUCCACCAACUGAAAUGUCCUUCCACUAACUGAAGUGUCCUUCCAUCAACUGAAGUGUCCUUCCACCAACUGAAGUGUCCUUCCACCAACUGAAGUGUCCUUCCAACAACUGAAGUGUCCUUCCAUCAACUGAAGUGUCCUUCCACCAACUGAAGUGUCCUUCCACCAACUGAAGUGUCCUUCCAACAACUGAAAUGUCCUUCCACCAACUGAAGUGUCCUUCCACCAACUGAAGUGUCCUUCCACCAACUGAAAUGCCCUUCCACCAACUGAAGUGUCCUUCCAACAACUGAAAUGCCCUUCCACCAACUGAAGUGCCCUUCCACCAACUGGAGUCUCCCUCCACCACCGUGCACUGCCCCCCCAUGUCCUCUCAGCUAAACCCCCCAACACACACACAGCCCAGAGUCCUUGGCUUUGCUGCCUCAGACUGCAGAUCUUAGGAGAGAAACAGAGGAGAACAAGAAGGCUGAAACUCCCCCCAGUGCCAUGGAGGCUGAAGGCUCAGAACCCAAGUCUGUGUAUGGCUAGUCAGGUGCCUUCCCAGACUCACAACCCAUCAGCAGACUCCUCAGCAGAAGCAGUUGACAGGGGCAGCUCUGCAGAAGCCAAGACCACGGGUUGAGUUGGAUACAGGGCUGCAGUCCACUCUGGGUUCCCUGACUGCCUGGCUAUAAAGGACAAGGGUCAGAGCGUCUCUUCAGGGAGUCCCAGCUUCUGCCUGAGAGUGAGAUCAUCCCAUGUCUGCUUUUGGUAUCAGAGUGAUGUUGGCUUCAAAGAAGCUGUCAGGGAGUAUUCCAAUGUCUUCAAUAUUCUGGAAGACUUUUAAAAGUAGAGAACAAGGAUUCUCCCAUCUGGAUUUCAGACAGACUUAUCAGACAUGUUCAGGAGCUCGCUGUUGCUGCCAAAGAACCUAAGGAGACAUCACCUCCACUGAGCUUGUCCACAAUUCUUGAAGAGUUGUCCUCCUUAUUCUCUCCCUUUAUUAGAUUCUGACCCUGUUGUAGAUCCAAGCAUUGAUAACAAGUACUGAUGCAGUAAAAAGACCAAAAAGAUGUAUAGCCGCAUUAAUAUUAGGAGACACAGCACUCACAGAAAUCAUUAGCUCAGUAGCUGUAGCAACUACUUCCGUAGUACAAGCAAAGCAUACUGCUAACCACAUAGCUCAGCUUUCAAAGAAUGUCUCUGUGACACUUAGGAUGCAAGAAAAGAUAGGAAGUUCGAGGCAAGACUUAAUGCCCUUGAAGAGGCAGUUCUAUACACUGGGACCCAGAUUCAAAAUAUUAAAAACCAGAAUGACCACAA